AUAAUUUAGGGGUAAUAAUUCCUAGUGUUUGGAUUUACAGUUGUGUAAACAUGUAAAAUUAAUUCAUGUGAAGCAACUAGUUUGUGAUGAUACAAAGAGAAAGAUAUAGAAUUGAAAUUUAAUUUCAGAUAUAAAUUAAGUCUUUGCAUUUGAAGCACUUCUGAAAGAUAGAGAAAAACUAUUACUGUGAGGGUUUCUUCAAGGUAUAUCCAUGUAACAUCAUUUUGAAUAGGAUUCUUUUGGACCUUCUGUUCACUUUUCACUUAAAAAUUUAAAAUAUCAAAAGUUUACUAUAUUUCUUUCCCAUAAUUUUAAUUGGCAUGUAGUUUUUUUUCACAAAUGGAAGUCUAUAAAUAGCUGUUUGUCUUAUGGUUUGCCCUUCCUCCCUCGUGCAGGAAUGGCAAACCUAUAGCAUGCAUGCCGCAGCAGGUUGUUUGUGUCAUGGAAAGCUAUACACUGCUCACCAUCACUGGUCUAGUGUAUAAAGAUUAAAAUGUAUACCUGUGUUAAGUGAUUAUUGUCUCACAGUCAGUGGGGAUUUUUUGCUUUAGCAACUGUAAUUUUAAAAAUUCAUGGCUUUUUCCCUGGUUGUCAAAAUAGAGAUGUGAGUAUAAGACAAUUAAAAAUGCACAGGACAAAAAACUUACCCCCUACGCACACCAGCCCCACCAGUACUUGAUACACGUGAUACUAAUUGUCCAACUAGCUAAUCCACUCCCACUCCCACUCCAGGCGUCUGCCAAGUUGCUGCGUAUGCAGUCGGCCGGACUACCAGAAUUCUAAAAAAAGGACGGGGACAGAAAAUGAAACUUUGGACACACGUAUUUUUUGAAGCCUUUUCAACACCACUUCCAUUCUUUGAACCAUGGAAAGGUGAUUCGUGAAGCAUAGACAGCCCACGCUUUUACCAACUGCCUGCAUGUGCUGGAGCAGAGGACUAUCAGUUCCACAGCUCUGUGAAGGUAGAAGGUAGAGGUGUCACAAGUGCAGUGUUGUAGACAGCUAUUGAGCUACUUAAGUCACACACUGACUGGUGAAUUUUGCUGACCCCUCCCUUGUUCUCACUCUCCCUUUCAUAUGCAUCAGCUGUGCUUCUUGAGUAACUAGUACUUCCAUAAUUAGAACAGCAGGGGAACUCAAAGUAAGGGCCAGGGGUGUAGCUCAGUGGCAGAGCACUUGCCUAGCAUGCCCUACGAAAACAAA